CAAGGAUUUAUUUUACAUAUGAACUACAACAAGAUAUAUUUAAACAAUAAAGAAAUUUAGCUAAGUACUCAUUUAUUUAAAUGGACAUGCUCCCAACAAUCAAGAUGAGUUCAAAUCUUCUUGUUAAUGUGAAAACAUCUGCAACAUAAGAUUAAAGAAUUACCUGAGUCGCAGAAUAAUAAAUACAACAACAAAGAAUGGAAGCUCAGCAACUAAAGCAGCAUAAAAAUAGCAGCACAACAACAGCAAAACCAACAGCAAAUCCGUGUUAAAACAGCUCGAAAACUCAGAGAAGAAACCUAGAAGCAAACUCUAAAGAGGACUUAUACUUUUCUAAAAAAAAGGUUUGCACUUUAAGAUUCACUCUUAAGACUUACAAUUUUAGCUUACUAAAGGAUGCUUCAACUGCUUAUUUUUUAUUUUUUUGUAUGUUCAAAAGCAGAAAAUGAUCCCCUCCAGAAUGUGAUGGAGUCCCCUCUAUAUAUCAAAACAAUCAACUAUUUCAAAAAAUAAAAAAUCAAUCUUUUUGAUAGAUUUUUCUACAAAAUCUGCUCUUAAAUUCAAAAAGCAAGACUUUCUAGUUCAAAUCUUGUCCCCACCUGAGUUGGCGCCGUCCUCGGAGCCUUAUGAUGAUGAUGAUGAUGAUGAUGAUUCUGAUGGUUGUUGGAUGGGAGGUCUGCGCCCCUCUGUUCUUUGAGCUUGCUGUUGUAGCGAAGCAAUGAUUGCAUGCGACUAACAUGGAAGACUGGAUGGAUCUUCCACCAGGAUGGAGUUUUGACCAAGUAUUUCAAACAAAAUCUGCUUUCCGCUAUUCAAAGAUAGACUUUAUUCAAAUAAUGUCCAAAGGUCUACAUUUUCUUACCAAACAAUUUGACUUUUGAGUGUUGAACUCAAAGAGUCUUGAAGCAGUAAACAAACAACCAAACAAGUACCAUAUACUCUUAAGUAUUUUUCAUUACCUCACUUUUAUCAAUACAAAACUAUUUUACUACUUCAACAAGUGCAAAAACAAAAAAUUUAACAUUUUAAACUUUAAAAACUAAUGCUAAAAUAAUUAAUAAUAGACAAAAACAAAAUCUGAAAAUUAAAAUAAAAAAUAAAAAAAUCAGCCAUGAAAAAGAAUAGUAUUUUACCAUUUUACACAUCAAAAGGCCGAAAAAAUGGUGGUAUGCCAAAGAGGGUGUUCCGGGAGGUCGCCGGAAUUAGGCCGGAUUUUUGGGGUAGAGUUGACAUCAAUAGCUAGGUCUUGAGGAGCUCUAUCCAUUGAUGUAGGUAUUUUGGGGUGGUAGUGGUUGGAGCUUCAAGAAUUUGGGCAAAAAAGUGACGGGAAAGUUUCCUAGAUCUUAGAUUCAAGGAGUUUGAGGGAUUGUUUUAGGAUUUGGUUUGGAGAUAUGGAAAGAGGAAGUUGUGGAGAUUACGUGGCGUGAAUUUGGAGGUGUUUGGAGGUGGUCUGCCGGCGGUAGCGAUUUCCGUCAGGCGGUGGUGGGCGGAGUUGGGGCGGCGUAGAGAGAGUGAAGAGAGAGAGAAGAGAGAAGAAGGAGAGGGAAAGAAGAGAGAGGAAAUAAGGGGGAAAUGGGGCAAAUUUUUGGGGAUUUUAGACUUUAAAUACCUAGGAUGAAGAUCAAACUAGGACCGUUGGAUUAAAUCAAGAUGAGUGGAUGAGAUUGAAUCUUGUCA
rnacentral:lncRNA from 1 species